AACGAACGCUGGCGGCGUGCUUAACACAUGCAAGUCGAACGAGGCCCCUCCUUCGGGAGGGUGUCCUAGUGGCGAACGGGUGAGUAACACGUGGGCAACCUGCCCCCGGCUCUGGGAUAACCCCAAGAAAUUGGGGCUAAUACCGGAUAUGACCGCUGACCGCAUGGUCUGGUGGUGGAAAGAUUUAUCGGCUGGGGAUGGGCCCGCGGCCUAUCAGCUUGUUGGUGGGGUAGUGGCCUACCAAGGCGACGACGGGUAGCCGGCCUGAGAGGGUGACCGGCCACACUGGGACUGAGACACGGCCCAGACUCCUACGGGAGGCAGCAGUGGGGAAUAUUGCGCAAUGGGCGGAAGCCUGACGCAGCGACGCCGCGUGAGGGAUGACGGCCUUCGGGUUGUAAACCUCUUUCAGCAGGGACGAAGCGCAAGUGACGGUACCUGCAGAAGAAGCACCGGCCAACUACGUGCCAGCAGCCGCGGUAAUAC
rnacentral:rRNA from 1 species